UGGGGAAUAUUGGGGCAAUGGGGGAAACCCUGACCCCAGCAACGCCGCGUGAAGGAAGAAGGCCUUCGGGUUGGUAAACAUUCUUUUAUCCAGGGAGCGAAGGAAGUGACGGUACCUGGAGAAAAGCAACGGCUAACUACGUGCCAGCAGCCGCGGUAAUACGUAGGUUGCGAGCGUUGUCCGGAUUUACUGGGUGUAAAGGGCGUGUAGGCGGAGAAGCAAGUUGGGAGUGAAAUCUAUGGGCUCAACCCAUAAACUGCUCUCAAAACUGUUUCCCUUGAGUAUCGGAGAGGCAAGCGGAAUUCCUAGUGUAGCGGUGAAAUGCGUAGAUAUUAGGAGGAACACCAGUGGCGAAGGCGGCUUGCUGGACGACAACUGACGCUGAGGCGCGAAAGCGUGGGGAGCAAACAGGAUUAGAUACC
rnacentral:rRNA from 1 species